AGAGUAGUACUUUAACUAAAAGUUUUAAUUUGCAUUUAAAAGAAUGGGAGUUAUUCCCCUACUCUA
rnacentral:tRNA from 1 species